rnacentral:rRNA from 1 species
GAUGAACGCUGGCGGCGUGCCUAAUACAUGCAAGUCGAGCGAACAGACGAGGAGCUUGCUCCUCUGACGUUAGCGGCGGACGGGUGAGUAACACGUGGAUAACCUACCUAUAAGACUGGGAUAACUUCGGGAAACCGGAGCUAAUACCGGAUAAUAUAUUGAACCGCAUGGUUCAAUAGUGAAAGACGGUUUUGCUGUCACUUAUAGAUGGAUCCGCGCCGCAUUAGCUAGUUGGUAAGGUAACGGCUUACCAAGGCAACGAUGCGUAGCCGACCUGAGAGGGGGAUCGGCCACACUGGAACUGAGACCCGGUCCAGACUCCCACGGGAGGCAGCAGUAGGGAAUCUUCCGCAAUGGGCGAAAGCUUGACGGAGCAACCCCGCGUGAGGGAUGAAGGUCUUCGGAUCGUAAAACUCUGUUAUUAGGGAAGAACAAAUGUGUAAGUAACUAUGCACGUCUUGACGGUACCUAAUCAGAAAGCCACGGCUAACUACGUG